rnacentral:rRNA from 1 species
GUGCGUAACACGUGAACAAUCUACCUUUUAGUGUGGAAUAGCUCGGCGAAAGCCGGAUUAAUACCGCAUGUGGUUGUCCUUCUCCUGAAGGGCAUACUAAAGUCAGGGACCGCAAGGCCUGACGCUAUUAGAGGAGUUCGCGGCCUAUCAGCUAGUUGGCGAGGUAACGGCUCACCAAGGCUAAGACGGGUAGCUGAUCUGAGAGGAUGAUCAGCCACACUGGAACUGAGACACGGUCCAGACACC